GCCAGCAUAGUAUAGUGGUUUGAGCAUUGGACUAUGACUCUGAAGACCAGUGUUUGAGUCCCAGUUCAGCCA